AAUGAACGCUGGCGGCAUGGAUUAGGCAUGCAAGUCGAACGGGGCGCCUUCGGGCGCCUAGUGGCGAAAGGGUGAGUAACACGUGAGCAACCUGCCCCCUAGUUCGGGAUAAGCGAUGGAAACGUCGUCUAAUACCGGAUGCGGACCUUGGCCUCCUGGCCUUGUUUCCAAAGAUUUUAUCGCUUGGGGAUGGGCUCGCGUCCCAUUAGCUUGUUGGCGGGGUAAGGGCCCACCAAGGCUACGACGGGUAGGUGGUCUGAGAGGAUGGUCACCCACACUGGGACUGAGACACUGCCCAGACUCCUACGGGAGGCUGCAGUCGAGAAUCUUCCGCAAUGGGCGCAAGCCUGACGGAGCGAUGCCGCGUGAGGGAAGACUGCCUUCGGGUUGUAAACCUCUGUCACCCGGGACGAAAGAACUGACGGUACCGGGAGAGGAAGUCACGGCUAACUACGUG
rnacentral:rRNA from 1 species